GGAGAGGUGGCUGAGUGGUCGAAAGCGCUCCCCUGCUAAGGGAGUAUAUCCCUUAACGGGAUAUCGAGGGUUCGAAUCCCUCCCUCUCCG
rnacentral:tRNA from 1 species